GACGAACGCUGGCGGCGUGCUUAACACAUGCCAGUCGAACGCUGAAGCUUGGUGCUUGCACUGGGUGGAUGAGUGGCGAACGGGUGAGUAAUACGUGAGUAACCUGCCCUUGACUCUGGGAUAAGCCUGGGAAACUGGGUCUAAUACUGGAUAUGACAUGCCACUGCAUGGUGGUGUGUGGAAAGGGUUUUACUGGUUUUGGAUGGGCUGACGGCCUAUCAGCUUGUUGGGUGGGUAAUGGCCUAGCAAGGCGACGACGGGUAGCCGGCCUGAGAGGGUGACCGGACACGCUGGGCUGGAAACAAGGCCCAGACUCCUACGGGAGGCAACGGUGGAGUAUAGUGCACAAGGGGCGGAAGCCUGAUGUAGCGAAGCCGCGUGAGGGAUGACGUCCUUCGGGUUGUAAACCACUUUCAGCACGGAAGAAGCGAGAGUGACGGUACGGGCAGAAGAAGCGCCGGCUAACUACGUG
rnacentral:rRNA from 1 species